rnacentral:rRNA from 1 species
GGGGACAACCCGCCGAAAGGCGGGCUAAACCCGCGUACAUGCCACCGGGGCAUCCCGGAGGCAGGAAAGGCUUCGGCCGGACAGGGAUGGGCAUGCGGCGCAUUAGGCAGUAGGCGGGGUAACGGCCCACCUAACCGACGAUGCGUAGGGGUUCUGAGAGGAAGGUCCCCCACACUGGUACUGAGACACGGACCAGACUCCUACGGGAGGCAGCAGUGAGGAAUAUUGGUCAAUGGUCGGGAGACUGAACCAGCCAAGCCGCGUGAGGGAGGAAGGUACAGAGUAUCGUAAACCUCUUUUGUCAGGGAACAAAGACUGGGACGCGUCCCCGGAUGAGUGUACCUGAAGAAAAAGCAUCGGCUAACUCCGUGCCAGCAGCCGCGGUAAUACGGAGGAUGCGAGCGUUAUCCGGAUUUAUUGGGUUUAAAGGGUGCGCAGGCGGUCUGUUAAGUCAGCGGUCAAAGCCCGGGGCUCAACCCCGGCCCGCCGUUGAAACUGGCAGUCUCGAGUUGGAGAGAAGUAUGCGGAAUGCGCGGUGUAGCGGUGAAAUGCAUAGAUAUCGCGCAGAACUCCGAUUGCGAAGGCAGCAUGCCGGCUCCACACUGACGCUGAGGCACGAAAGCGUGGGUAUCGAACAGGAUUAGAUACCCUGGUAGUCCACGCAGUAAACGAUGAA